UUGGCCCCUGAACUUUUCUAAAUUACAUUUCAACCCCUAAACUUUUCUAAAUUACAUUUCAACCCCUAAACUUUCUCAAAAUUACACUUUGAGCCCUAUAUUUUCCUAAAAUUACAUUUUUACCCCAGAAACUUUGCGCGCGUUACAUUUUGGUCCUUCUGGCAUGACAAGACGGCCCUCAAUCUGCGUUCUUGCGUGCAACGCCUUCCACGCCUGACACCUCCAAUCGGCCUUGCUUCCCUUUCUCUGCUGCCACCUGAAAACAAAGGAGAAGAGGACAAAACAAGGAGAUUAAAAAGAAGCAAAAGAGAGAAAUGGGGGGGCAAAAAACAAGAAUACAGAGAAAAAAAUCUUUAAAAUUUCUAAGAUUCGGCUGAUUUUUCCCUAGGUCCUCAUCCACAUUCCUCAUUCAUCAAGAAAAAAACCAAACUCCACAAUCCACAAGCAAUUAAAACCAAAGAAAAUAGUAAAAAAAAGAGGCAAAAUAAACAACAAAUAUAGCAAGAUCCCGACCUUUAUCACGAUCACUUAAGGCGGAGGAGGAUCGAGUGGCGAACGGCGGUUUGGAGAGGCGGCAUUGCCUCUAGUUUCCGGGCUUUCGAAAGAGAAAGAAAAAGAAAAGGGGGAAGAGAAGAAAAAGAGAAAGCCAAAGGGAGAAGAUAUGAGAAGAUAAGGGAAAGAAGAGAAAAAAGAGGAGAGAAGAAGAGGAGAAAACAUCGAGGCUAGCACCACCGAGAGGAGGAUUCGACGGUGGCAGUGGGCGACGGAGGAGAAGCGGCGCGGCUAGGGGCUCAAAGGAAUGAAAAAGUAAAGGGAAGAAGAAGAAGAAAGGAGAAAGAAAAAGAGAGAAAAAGAAAUAAAAAGAAAGAUAAAAAAAUAAAUAAAGAAUUAAACAGCAGCCCACUUUUUGGUAGGCUACGAGCAGCCCACCACUAGUGGGCCGACCAGCACAGGCCCAAUACUUAGCAGCACCAAUGGGCCAACGAUAGCAUUGAAGCAGGCCAACUGAGGCCCAAAGCAAGGCAAAAAAAAAAGAGAGAAGAGAAGAGGGCCUUUUGGGUAAUUUUAUUUUAUUUUUUUUUCCUUUUAAUCUAUUUUAUUUAAUAUAUUUAAAUAGUGUUUUAUUUAAUUUAAAUUAGUAUGUUUAAAAUAAUUUUCAUAAAUAUUAUUAUGUCAUUUUAAUUGCAUAUUUUUUAAAAAAUAAUAAAAAUAAAAUAAUAAAAUUUUAAUGCAUAAGGCAACGAACCGAUUUAGCAUCGAGUCACCGAAUCCAUCGCUAUGUUGGGUGGAUAUCGAUAGCUCAUGUUAAAUACGGGACGCCCUUCUAAAAAUCGACAAUAUUCAAGAAUCCUCGUAUUAAAAAAAUUUCUCGUGUUUUAAUAGAAUCCUGAUUAAAUAUUAAAUUGAAUUAAUUUAACACUAAUUGGAUUGUUUCAUUGCCAUAUCGGGGUGAAUAUCAUCGAUUCGUGUUAAAUACGGUUUUUUUAAGAAAAAUCAUGUUUCAAAAUUUUCAUGUCUUCAAAAUUUCUCGUGCUUCAAAAUAAUAAUAAUAAAAUUUUCCGUGUUUCAAAAAUUCUCGGGAAAAAAAAAUUUUCGUGUUUCAAAAAUAUUCUCGCAUUUCAAAACUUUCGUUUUUUAAUCACGUUUCAAAAAAAAUGUCAUGUAAAAAAAAUUUUCGUGUUUCUAAAAUUUCCCUAUUUAAAAAAUUCCCUUGUUUCAAAAAAAAAUGUCUUAAUUUUCGUGUUUCUAAAAUUUUCGUGUUUAAAAAUUCUAGUGUUUUCAAAAUUCUCGUGUUAAAAAAAACUUUCGUUUAAAAAAAAAAAGAAAUUCCGCGCUUCAAAAUUCUCGUGUUUUUUUUAAAAAAAGGGUUCUCGUAUUUCAAUCGGAUCACGACUAAAUAUUAAAUGGAACUGGUAUUUUUGAAAAUUAAGACAACAUGCGUUUUACGAGAUACCAAUUUUGGGCGUCACGAGGGUGCUAAUACCUUCCUCGCGUGUAACUGACUCCCGAACCCUAAUUUUCUCUGGAUUUUUACGUGGACCUAAAAUUACCUCUUUUUUAGAAAAGUUUAAAAAUAAAAUUUUCUUCUAAAAAGAGAGUUUUGUAGGUGUCCAAUCACACCUAGAAAAAAGAUCGGUGGCGACUCUUUUUUAAAUAAAAUCGAAACUUCGUUUUCAAAGUUUCAAUAACUAUUUCGACUAGCGCCCGUGCCCAAAAUUUUUAGGUCGCUACAGCUGGCGACUCCGCUGGGGACAUUUUUUGAGAGUCGAGUCUAAUGUUAAACGCGUGUUGUCAAAAUUUUUAAAUUUUCUAGUUCAAAUUAAUUUUCAAUCGUGAUCCUUGAAUUUUGUUUUGAAAAGUCAUGCAUUUGCAUUCGGUUUUUAAAUUAAUAUUUUUCUAACGUGUUUUGUUUUUCUGUUCAGCUCUAAGUUUUACGUUUUUUUAGUUUGUUGUUUUAGUAAAUAAAAAAUAAAAAGGUUUGUGAGUUUCUCCCCACACACUGUGCACUUGCAUUCUUGCAUAACAUGAGCUAUCUACCCGAACUCCGUCCGUUUAAGUGGAAGUAAAUGCUAUGCCUUCGUGAGUUAACUCGUCCCUCCGCACAGGCUAGUGAAUUACUUUCGAGUUACAUAUGACUUAUGCUUUCGUGAGUUAACUUGUCCCUCCGCAUAGGCAUAAGUAAAUGUAAUCCCUCGAAUUGAGCUCGCGAGCCCUGACGGGCGAUAACCGAGGCUCCGUACUAACCUUAGUAGGUGAUAGUAUGGACAAUUCGAGUACCUUUCUAGAACCGAAACUACAUAUAGUAAACCGUACGAGCCACCCGAUUAGAGCCAGGCCGAACCUCUGUCCGUUGAAUAGUCACCAAAAUAAGUACACGGGAGAAACGCCUCUUACCUUUUAUUUCUUUUACAUUUACACUUCUUUGCAAAUGAAUUGAGUCUGUUAAAUAAAUUGGGUCGGGUAGAUUGUCUGAAGAUAUGUGGGGUAGGUUUUUUUUUUGUAAAGCAUGUUGGGGCAAACAAAAAAUGUGGGUCUGUUCCACCAAAUUGCAUGAUUAAAUAGCUUAAUUUGUUAAAUUUUCCAUAGUCUUUAUUUUUCUUUUUUCUUCUGUUUAUAUCUGUUGUGAUCUCUAACCAAGGUUAUUUGUUCUUUAUUUUAUUUUUCAUCAUGCAUCGUAGUCAUCUCAUUAGGAAGGUGUUGAUUAGGGAUUGGUUGCCAAAAACGGGUUUCUGAUGGAGGAGUCAAUUACACAAGUAACCGAGAAAAAUGCCGUAGUUCGAGAUUGAUCUUUGAGGACUUAGCAAGUGAAAGGGGAUAGUUUAAAAGAAGGAUACAUCUUUGAUCUUCCUGAGCAUGUGACUUUGAAUGCUCGUCAGAAUGAUCUCGAAGACUUGACUAGGAUUUGGAAACAGUGGGACUCAGAUACCAGAGGCAUUUUCACUGAAAAGUACGGGGACAUAGCUCACUUGAUAGCAAUCAAUGUGAACGAGCAGUUGAUUCAAGCCAUGAUUCGAUUCUGGGACCUAGCCUAUCAGUGUUUCACUUUCAAACAGGAAGACAUGACUUCAACCAUAGAAGAGUAUGCCGCUCUGCUUCGCAUUGACAAUGUACAAUUCAACAAGAUAUAUGUGAAGAAGCCUAAACCGAUGACCUUCAAGAAAAAGCUAAUGAAGUUGACAGGGAUGACUGACACAUGGGCUGAAGUUUAGUCAAUGAAAUUCGCAAGGCAGUUAUGCAAAUUGUGCAAUUAUCAGAUGAUGCCGAAACUCUCAGUUGGCAAUUCUCUCUAAGCCAAAGAUCAAGCAUGUCGGAGUUCCUAGGACGAGUGAAGAAACAAGGCGAUGUGGCCAGUGAAUUUGUGUAACUGUUAAGUCCAAGAUGGAAAAAUGUUUUGUAAUGUGCUCUUUUGAUUAAUGAAACGCCAAAAUAUGGGGCUAUCUUGAAAUCAACACCAAAUUCUUGUAUAUUUAUUCAUGACUAACAUUUACUUGUCAUUCAUUCAUUCAUGCAUGCAUUGCGUGUACAUAUCACCCUAACCAUUCAAUAAGGCUAGAACCGCAUAAUCCACAGUUGUGACACUACAAGUCUGGAAUCACGUCAUUCUUAUAGACGCAUUUAAGAUCUAAAGCUAUGGAUGCUGAGCUCAACCAGAGUGAUACAAUUGAGGAUGUUUUAAUGAUACACCCCUAUCCCCCAAGAUAUGUUUUGAACAAUUAGACUGCUGUGGACCUCAUUGUAGUUUCUAAGUCCUCUCCAGAGUAAUGUCCAAUGUUAAUUCUCCAUUGUUUUGUGUGUUCCUAAAUAAUGGGAUUCCUUUUGUAAGAGCUUAUAUUUGCUCUUUAUCAUUUCAAUGAACAUUAAUGAAGAUGCAUUUUGUCAUGAUCUUUUCAUUUCCAUCAAUUUCAUAAUUACCCCCCCAUCGCUUCAUAUCCUUUCUCUCCAUGUAUCUCAUUUCAUAGCAUUGUGUGUGUUGAUUCCAAUACUUUGAUGCUCCCCUAUAGCAGUUUUUUCUAUCCGUCUUUCAAGUGCUCAGAUAUCCAUGGCAUGAACAAUCCCGUUACAAGUCCUGAAAUCGAUUUCGAGAAGGCUGUUUGUUUAGGAGAAUUUGAAGCCGAGGAAGAUGCUAAAAAUUGUGACCGGCCUCCUGACUUACUGAGAAUGGUUGAACAAGAAAAGAAACAGAUUCUACCCCAUCAAGAAUUUUUUGAGACAGUGAACUUGGGAAAUGAAGAAAAGCAACAAGAAGUGAAGAUUGGGACUUCCAUUUCAGAAAACACCAGGCGGGAUUUGAUCGCCUUGCUCCAUGAGUAUAAAGAUGAAUGCCUGGUGUUAUCAAGAUAUGCCAGGGUUGAACACAGAUAUUGUGGUCCAUAAGCUCCCACUGAAACCAGAAUGCAAACCUGUUCAACAGAAGCUAAGAAGGAUGAGACCUGAAAUGCUGUUGAAAAUAAAAGAAGAAGUCAAGAAAUAAUUUGACGCUGGCUUCCUACAAGUCUCCAAGUAUCCAGAGUGGGUAGCUAACAUAGUCCCGGUACCAAAGAAAGAUGACAAGGUGCGAAUGUGCGUGGAUUAUCGUGAUCUGAAUCAAACAAGCCUUAAGGAUAACUUUCCUUUACCACACAUCGACACUUUGGUGGAUAAUACGGCAAAGCAUUCUCUGUUUUCUUUCAUGGAUGGCUUCUCAGGUUAUAAUAAGAUAAAGAUGGCUCCUGAGGACAUGGAGAAAACUACAUUCAUAACAAUGUGGGGAACCUUCUGUUAUAAGGUAUGCCAUUCGGACUAAAGAAUGCUGGGGCAACGUAUCAGAGAGCCAUGGUGACGUUGUUUCAUGAUAUGAUGCACAAAGAAAUAGAAGUUUAUGUCGAUGAUAUGAUUGCCAAAUCUCGGGAAGAAAGAGAGCAUGUUGGAAAUCUCAAGAAGCUGUUCAAAAGGCUAAGAAAGUUCUAGUUGAAGCUAAACCCGGCCAAAUGUACAUUUGGGGCUACUUCGAGAAAAUUGUUAGGUUUCAUUGUCAGUGAGAGAGGUAUUGAAGUUGAUCCAGACAAGAUAAAAGCUAUACAAGAACUGCCACCUCCGUGCACACAAAAGGAAGUCAGAGGAUUUUUAGGAAGGUUGAAUUACAUUGCUCGAUUCAUUGCCCAACUUACCAAUCAGUGUGAUCCAAUUUUUUGACUCCUCCGAAAACAUAAUCCGGGAGAAUGGAAUGAGGAGUGCCAAAUGGUAUUUGACAAGAUAAAACAAUAUCUGUCUAAUCCUCCGGUGCUGGUACUGCCGAUCCUUGGAAAACCCUUAAUAUUGUAUCUGACCGUAUUUGAAAACUCAAUGGGUUGCGUACUGGGGCAACAUGAUGAGUCAGGGAAAAGUGAAAAGGCAAUUUACUACCUCAGCAAAAAGUUCACAGAAUAUGAGGCAAAGUACCCUUCAAUUGAGAAGUUUUGUUGCGCAUUGAUUUGGACGGUUCGAAGGCUCAGACAAUACAUGUUGUAUCAUACGACAUAGUUAAAUUCAAAACUGGAUCCAAUAAAGUACAUGGUGGAGUCACCUGCACUCUCAGGAAGAAUGGCACGAUGGCAGAUCUUACUGACUGAGUAUGACAUCGUGUAUGUGAGCCAAAAAUUGAUAAAAGGAAGCGCGAUAGCUAACUUCUUAGCAAGUCGAACAGCGGAAGAAUACAAGCCUUUGAGAUUCGAUUUCCCAGAUGAAGACUUGAUGUGCAUUUCAGAAAAAAUGGUGAGUCACCAAAAGAGAAAUCAUGGAAGAUGAGCUUCGAUGGUGCAUCGAAUGCAUUGGGGGCAUGGGAUCGAAGCAGUCUUAGUGUCACCUGAAGGGGACCAUUACCAACUCACUGCCAGAUUAAACUUCUUCUGUACCUAUAAUAUAGUAGAGUAUGAAGCUUGCAUCAUGGGACUUCGUGUAGCUAUUGAGAGGAAAAUCAAAAUCUUUGAAGUGCACGAGGACUCAGCAUUAGUCAUUCGCCAAAUCCGUAGAGAUUGGGAAGUGGGGGAUUCGAAAUUAAUCAAAUAUCACGAUCUCGUUGCAGAAUUGGUCAAAGAGUUCUAUGAAGUGACUUUUAACUACUUUCCACGGAAAGAGAACCAAUUGGCUGAUGCUCUGGCCACCUUGGCUUCGGUGUUCAAAGCAAACAGAGAAACUGAGAUAAUGCCCAUCCAAAUGAGUAUAUAUGAGACCCCCACACACUGUUUUAGUAUUAAGGAGGAGUCAGAUGGACGACCAUGGUUCCAUGAUAUCUUGGAGUAUAUCAAGAAUCAAAGGUACCCCGAGCAAGCAAACGAGAAUGACAAAAGAACAAUCAGGAAAUUGGCGGUUGGAUUUGUUCUUGACGGGGAUAUUCUAUACAAAAGAGGGAAAGAUCAAGUGCUCCUGAGGUGCGUGGACGCUGUUGAAGCUAAAAAGAUACUUGAAGAGGUCCAUGAAGGGAUUUGUGGAACGCAUGCCACUGGUUUCACCAUGGCUAGGCAAAUUAUGAGACUUGAUUAUUAUUGGCUGACGAUGGAAAAUGAUUGCAUUGGUUACGCAUGAAAGUGCCACAAAUGUCAAAUUUAUGGCGAUAAAAUUCAUGCAGCUCCAUUGCCCCUCCAUGUCAUGACUUCUUCGUGGCCUUUUUCUAUGUGGGGCAUGGAUGUUAUAGGGCCAAUUUCCCAGAAAGCUUCCAAUGGACAUCGAUUCAUCUUUGUGGUUAUAGACUACUUCACAAAGUGGGUAGAAGCCACUUCGUUUGCUAAUGUGACAAAGGCUGCAGUCUGUAGGUUCUUAAAAAAGGAGAUUAUAUGUCGAUAUGGUCUGCCUGAAAGAAUCAUUUCAGAUAAUGCUUUAAAUUUGAACAACAAGAUGAUGAAAGAAGUAUGUGAGCAAUUUCAGAUAAAGCAUCAUAAUUCUUCGCCCUAUCGCUCAAAGAUGAACGGAGCAAUAGAAGCGGCUAAUAAGAACAUUAAGAGGAUUCUCAGGAAGAUGGCUGAGACAUAUAAAGACUGGCACGAGAAGCUACCACUUGCUUUGUACGCAUAUCGAACCUCUGUACGGACGUCUACAGGGGCAACUCCUUUUUCUCUGGUCUACGGGAUGUAGGCCGUUCUACCUAUCGAAGUAGAGAUCCCAUCCCUGCGUGUCUUGAUGGAGACAAAGUUAGAAGAAUCAGAGUGGGUUCAAGCUCGAUAUGAUCGGCUAAACCUUAUUGAAGGGAAACGCUUGAAGGUAAUUUUUCAUGGACAGAUGUAUCAGAAAAGAAUGAUCACGGCCCAUGAUAAAAAGGUACGGCCAAGAGAAUUUCGCGAAGAGGAGCUCGUUGUAAGAAAGAUCCUCCCGAUACAAAAAGACUUUCGAGGAAAAUGGUCGCCAAAUUGGGAAGGGCCAUACGUUGUAAAAAGGGCAUUCUCAAGAGGAGCUUUGAUUCUCACUGAGAUGGAUGGGAAAGAAUUACCUAAUCCAGUGAACUCAGAUGCUGUGAAGAAAUAUUAUGCCUAAAAAAAAGAGACAAAAAAACAACAAAAAAAACAAAGAGGUAAAAAAACAAACAAAAAAAAGCAACAAAAAAACAAAAAAAACAAAAAAAGAAAAAAGAAAAAUCAAAAUCAAAAUCAAAAUGAAAACCCAAAAAGGGCGUCUUGAUAAACAAAAGGAUUAGGAUGAAAACCCGAAAGGGCGUCCUAAUGAAGCAGAUUCGGACUUAAAGAGCAAGGCGACUCGAACGGGGAGUCGAAUGGCGAAGUUACAAUAUUUGAAGCAUUCUCAGAAGCUCGAAAUCUUCUACACAGGAAGCCAUGCUCGAAAAGAUUCAGGAUGAAGAAACGUGGAGGAGUUUAAGCGUUGGAUAUCUAGAGCAUUCGUGGCCAUUGAAUUCACUUUCCUUUCUUUAUGAUGCUUUCUGUAUUUGAACUAUUCCUUGUCAAUUUUCUUUGUUUGUUGCUUUUGAAAAAAUUGAAUGUGAGGUAUUUUCUUUCAUGCCUACUUUGCCAUUUUUUCCAUGCAUCUCGUGUUUGAUUCAUUUAAAUGAUAAAUAGAAAGAUGACAUACUCUAAACAAAAGAAAUGUUGAACAUUACCUGGAUGAGAAUUUGACAAGUACAAGGGCCCGAAAGCAGGAACAAUGUUCAGCAGGGGGCAAGAGAGUGAUAUAUGGAGAAAUGUGGAUUACUCACAGAACUUGAGGAUGAGUACAAAACUGGAGAGAAAAGUCAGGAAUUGAGGAAAUGAAUGCAGAACCUCACGAAAAUCAAAAGUGGGGCAUGUGACAAACAGCCUAGGGUGCAUGGCAUGAUCAUGUAGACACGAAAGCAUUUAGGACAAACACGUGCAUAUCAUAAUAACAUCAUACAUGACAUAUACAGGUAUACCAGUAGAGCAAGGAAUACUGGGAGAAAGCUGCACAGAAUCAAUGAAGAAGAAGGCUUUUAGUUUCACCUGAUGUUUUUUGAAACCCAGUUUCUUUCAAGAAAUAUUUUUCAAUCUCUGUUUUUUUCAAAAAUCAACUCAUAAUACAGAGGUGAGUUGAGCCUCGGGUCAUGCCGAGGUAUUUCUUUUAAAUUUCUAUUUUUCAAAAAUCAACUCAUAAUACAGAGGUGAGUUGAGCCUCGGUCAUGCCGAGGUAUUUCUUUUAAAUUUCCAUUUUCAAAAAUCAACUCAUAAUGCGAGAGGUGAGUUGAGCCUCGGGUCAUCCUAAGGUAUUUUCAAUUUCUGUUUUUCAAAAAAAUCAACUCAUAAUACGAGAGGUGAGUUGAGCCUCGAGUCAUCCUGAGGUCUUUUAAAUUUCUGUUUUUCAAAAAAGUCAACUCAUAAUUCGAGAGGUGAGUUGAGCCCCGGGUCGCACGCCGAGGUAUUAUCGAUUUUUGCCUUUCAAAUAAAAAGAAAAUUUUGGAUGGUCGAGCAAAAUUCAGUGCUUUUAAGUCUUUGCCCUAUCCCUGUUUCACAGGAUGAGCAAAGAGGGGCAGCUGUAAUCACUGAAUUUUGCCCGAGUAGGAUUUCGGGCCGGGCUGGUCUCAUAUGGGCCCGAUAAUUGGGCCCAUUAGGAUUAAAUUUUGGGUUUGUUUUAACUCAUUUUUAAUUGUUUUAAUUUUUGUUUUAAAUAUUAAUAAAAUAGUCAUAAUGAAAUUUUGAAAAAUGAAAAAAAAACAAAACAAAAAAUAUAAAUUACAUUUUGGCCCCUGAACUUUUCUAAAUUACAUUUCAACCCCUAAACUUUUCUAAAUUACAUUUCAACCCCUAAACUUUCUCAAAAUUACACUUUGAGCCCUAUAUUUUCCUAAAAUUACAUUUUUGCCCCAGAAACUUUGCGCGCGUUACAUUUUGGUCCUUCUGGCAUGACAAGACGGCCCUCAAUCUGCGUUCUUGCGUGCAACGCCUUCCACGCCUGACACCUCCAAUCGGCCUUGCUUCCCCUUCUCUGCUGCCACCUGAAAACAAAGGAGAAGAGGACAAAACAAGGAGAUUAAAAAGAAGCAAAAGAGAGAAAUGGGGGGCAAAAAAAAAGAAUACAGAGAAAAAAAAGCUUCAAAAUUUCUAAGAUUCGGCUGAUUUUUCCUUAGGUCCUCAUCCACAUUCCUCAUUCAUCAAGAAAAAAACCAAACUCCACAAUCCACAAGCAAUCAAAACCAAAGAAAAUAGUAAAAAAAAGAGGCAAAAUAAACAACAAAUAUAGCAAGAUCCCGACCUUUAUCACGAUCACUUAAGGCGGAAGAGGAUCGAGUGGCGAACGGCGGUUUGGAGAGGCGGCGUUGCCUCUAGUUUCCGGGCUUUCGAAAGAGAAAGAAAAAGAAAGGGGGGAAGAGAAGAAAAAGAGAAAGCCAAAGGGAGAAGAUAUGAGAAGAUAAGGGAAAGAAGAGAAAAAAGAGGAGAGAAGAAGAGGAGAAAACGCCGAGGCUAGCACCACCGAGAGGAGGAGUCGACGGUGGCAGUGGGCGACGAAGGAGAAGCGACGCGGCUGGGCGCUCAAAGGAAUGAAAAAGCAAAGGGAAGAAGAAGAAGAAAGGAGAAAGAAAAAG
rnacentral:lncRNA from 1 species